rnacentral:rRNA from 1 species
CAGUAGCCGCGGUAAUACGAAGGGUGCAAGCGUUACUCGGAAUUACUGGGCGUAAAGCGUGCGUAGGUGGUUGUUUAAGUCUGCUGUGAAAGCCCUGGGCUCAACCUGGGAAUUGCAGUGGAUACUGGGCAACUAGAGUAAGGUAGAGGAUAGUGGAAUUUCCGGUGUAGCAGUGAAAUGCGUAGAGAUCGGAAGGAACAUCUGUGGCGAAGGCGACUAUCUGGGCCAUUACUGACACUGAGGCACGAAAGCGUGGGGAGCAAACAGGAUUAGAUACCCCCGUAGUCCCUGUCUCUUAUAU